CUCUCUAGAAAUGGGCAAAGAGACACCUUGUUGGUGGUUUUGUUCUCAUAUCAACCAGGGGCAGAGCAGAUGGCAAUACUGAAUUCAUCCUAGCUUGAUGCCUGGCUUGGUGGUCAAAGCUAUCUUAUGACUAAAAUGCGUAA